rnacentral:rRNA from 1 species
UGUUGCAGUUAAAAAGCUCGUAGUUGGAUUUCUGCGGGGGCGGGGCGGCCGGUUGCUUAUAGCAACUCGAGCUAGCACUUCCCCCGCAUCCUGCCGCGAACCGUGCUGCCAUUAGUUUGGUGGCGCUGGGGAUCGGCUCGUUUACUUUGAGAAAAAUAGAGUGUUCAAAGCAGGCCACACGCCUUGAAUAAGUUAGCAUGGAAUAAUGAUAAAGGACUUCGGUUCUAUUUUGUUGGUGUUCGGGACUGAAGUAAUGAUUGAUAGGGACAGUUGGGGCGGUCUGUAUUCCAAAGCGAGAGGUGAAAUUCUUAGACCUUCGGAAGACAAACAGCUGCGAAAGCGUUCCGCAAGGAUGUUCCCUUUGAUCAAGAACGAAAGUUGGGGGAUCGAAGACGAUCAGAUACCGUCGUAGUCUCAACUAUAAACUAUACCAGCUAGGGAUCGGCCG